AGGAAUAUUGGUCAAUGGACGAGAGUCUGAACCAGCCAAGUAGCGUGAAGGAUGACUGCCCUAUGGGUUGUAAACUUCUUUUAUACGGGAAUAAAGUGAGGCACGUGUGCCUUUUUGUAUGUACCGUAUGAAUAAGGAUCGGCUAACUCCGUGCCAGCAGCCGCGGUAAUACGGAGGAUCCGAGCGUUAUCCGGAUUUAUUGGGUUUAAAGGGAGCGUAGGCGGACGCUUAAGUCAGUUGUGAAAGUUUGCGGCUCAACCGUAAAAUUGCAGUUGAUACUGGGUGUCUUGAGUACAGUAGAGGCAGGCGGAAUUCGUGGUGUAGCGGUGAAAUGCUUAGAUAUCACGAAGAACUCCGAUUGCGAAGGCAGCCUGCUGGACUGUAACUGACGCUGAUGCUCGAAAGUGUGGGUAUCAAACAGGAUUAGAUACCCUGGUAGUCCACACAGUAAACGAUGAAUACUCGCUGUUUGCGAUAUACAGUAAGCGGCCAAGCGAAAGCGUUAAGUAUUCCACCUGGGGAGUACGCCGGCAACGGUGAAACUCAAAGGAAUUGACGGGGGCCCGCACAAGCGGAGGAACAUGUGGUUUAAUUCGAUGAUACGCGAGGAACCUUACCCGGGCUUGAAUUGCAACUGAAUGAUGUGGAGACAUGUCAGCCGCAAGGCAGUUGUGAAGGUGCUGCAUGGUUGUCGUCAGCUCGUGCCGUGAGGUGUCGGCUUAAGUGCCAUAACGAGCGCAACCCUUAUCGAUAGUUACCAUCAGGUUAUGCUGGGGACUCUGUCGAGACUGCCGUCGUAAGAUGUGAGGAAGGUGGGGAUGACGUCAAAUCAGCACGGCCCUUACGUCCGGGGCUACACACGUGUUACAAUGGGGGGUACAGAAGGCAGCUACACGGCGACGUGAUGCUAAUCCCGAAAGCCUCUCUCAGUUCGGAUUGGAGUCUGCAACCCGACUCCAUGAAGCUGGAUUCGCUAGUAAUCGCGCAUCAGCCACGGCGCGGUGAAUACGUUCCCG
rnacentral:rRNA from 1 species